rnacentral:rRNA from 1 species
UACGUAGGUGGCAAGCGUUGUCCGGAUUUACUGGGCGUAAAGGGCGUGCAGGCGGUCUGUUAAGUCUAGGGUGAAAGCUCCCGGCUCAACUGGGAGAGGUCCUUGGAUACUGGCGGACUUGAGGGAGGCAGAGGAAAGUGGAAUUCCCGGUGUAGUGGUGAUAUGCGUAGAUAUCGGGAGGAACACCAGUGGCGAAGGCGGCUUUCUGGGCCUUACCUGACGCUGAGACGCGAAAGCGUGGGGGGCAAACAGG